AUACGAGCGUGUAUUACAGAAUUCCUGCCAAUGUACUGUUUUUUUUCUGGCAUAAUUUGCUGUAGCUUUGUUAUCCUUCGCAAUAUUCGAGCGAACCGAUCGUGCAAUUAUACAUUGUCCUAUUCUAACUGUCGUAUUUUGGCCUUAGUUUCGAUGGAGCUCGUCGUAUCUUCCAUAUUGGGAUUUAUCUACAAAUACGUUAUAGUGCCUUUUUUAAUAGCGUAAAACAAGAAGGGGGUCCGAGCCCCCCCCCCCCCAAUAAUUUUGAAAGACUGUAAAAAUCUUGUACCAAAAUUACACAGACCACACUCAUAUAACGUAAUUGUCGUCAUAAUGUAAUAAUAUAUGUUUUCAAUUUUGUACUGUACAUGCCACAACAUACGCAUUUUAUACACUCUUUUUAACAGAUACUAGGGGGUCAACUUUUUGCAACAGGCACUUCUUUACUGUCGAUGCAAUAGGAGUGUUGAUAAAAUAUUGCAUCAAUUUAAUGAAUUUAUUUCCUCAAGUUGAUCAAUUCAUACGAAUUCAAAUUUCUUUUUACUUCCUGUGCGUUUCCUAUUGGUCAAUCGGUUCUGAAACGAAAUCUAAUUGGCUCAUCUAGAAGUAACAGGAAGUUGAUCAAUUUUCUAUCAAAUGAAUUGAUCAACUUGAGGAAAGGAAUUGGUGCAAUAUUUUAUCAACACUUCUAUUGCAUCGACAGUAAAUGUUAUUAUCGAUUUUUUGUUGUUUCAGAAGCUUAUACUAUUGUUUAGCGGCGAAAUUUUGAAUGCGUAUUAAACUAUUAUGCUCAAAAACAAUGGAUAAUUCAAUUAACAUCAUCACUUAGCAAUAAAUUUUUGCAUUGUCAUUGGUGUGUUAAUAAAAUUAAAGCACCUUGCAAUUCCAUUCACAAAUGUAAGUAAUCAUGUAAAUAUUUUCUCUGAAAUGUUGGUUUUCUAUACUUAGCA